rnacentral:lncRNA from 1 species
UCUCUCUCUCUCUCUCAAAUUAAACUGGCUCUCUUCCCUUUCGUCCUCUAUUCUUCAUCUUCAUCCUUAAAAUUUCACAACCUAUUUCAUCUUUUGCCUAGAAAUUCAAAUCGACAUUUCAAAAUUCAUCCCAAUUAAAAAAUCGCACGGAUAUCGAGACCUACAUCAAAGGCCAAUUAAACCGAUGCUCCAGAAACAGUUGUGAUACCGAGAUCCACAUCAACCGGGGCGACCUGUAGUCCGACCACCACCAUGGGAACCUAAUCUCCCCUUCCUUUCCCCGAAAGUAGCAGCUGCUGCAGCAUAUGCUGCUGUGUCUUUUGCGUCUUCCUCCUCAUCGUCAUCAACCUCGUUGCCCAUGUUGGCGGCAUCUUCUACCUUUACUUCGACCCCCGCAUCCCGGCCUUCUACCUCAUCUCCUUCCAGAUCCCCAAAUUCGACUCUGUCCCCAAGCCCGAAUGGACCCAUCGAGAAAGUGACGGUGGAAUCCGGUUAAGCCGUUGAUGGCGAAGUAUGAAAAUUAGUUGUGAAUGGAAGUCGAAUCGAUCACAUGCAAAAGAAAAUCUGGGUUUUUUUUUUCUUUCAUUUUGCUUUAUGGGGAGAGAUAGGGAUGGGCAAAUACCUAUUGGUUAUGGGUAACCGUGGUUACCUUUCUAUUUAAAUUUCACGGUUACGGUUACGAUUAUGGGUAACCGUUUAAAUAAAUAAACGGUUAUGAGUAUAACCGUUUACCUACGAAAUUUAAAUGGGCUGUUAUGGGUAUUAAUCGCGGUUAUAAACGGGUAACAAUUUAUCUAUUUAUUUUAUAUAUGUAAAAUUAACACAAACCUUGUUCCCUAUCGGACAAAACUUAGAUCAAUGCCAUUAAUUAUAGUGCAUGAUUUCUAUAGCUAAUAUAAUAUAGUUUUUUUUAAUCACUUUAAAUUUCAUGGCCCAUUAUAUAUAUAUUAUGUUAAUAUUUUAUAUUCCGAGUCAAAUAAUCCAAGAAUACUGUAUUUUAACAGUUUUCGUAACCCAAGAAUACUUAGCAAAUUUUAUAUUACCUUCAUUGCUAACAAUUAAAAAUAUCAUCUGUAAACUAUUAUUUCAAUUAUUGAAAUAAUAUACGGACUUAAAAAAUUAAAAUGCGGAAAUGUAUGAUGAAUGUACCUGUAACGAUGUUUAAUUGUUAGAAAAACAAAAUUAUGACAAUUUUUUCUUUUUUAAUUUUCAAGUUAAUAAAAAAACACGUAGACGGGUGAAAAAUGAGUAAAUAGUAAAAAAGAAAGGAUAAACAAGUUUAAAAAUGAUAAAUGGGUAAACAGGUACUAAACGAUUACGGUUAAAUGAGUACAUGAUUAUGAGUAUGGUUAACCGUUUAUAAACAAUUAUGAAUAUGAGUAUAACCGUUUAGACAAUUAUCCAACGGGUAAACGGUUAUGCAGGUAUGAGAAUAAAUGGUUAUAGAUAAAUAACCGCGGUUACCUACCCAUCAUAACCGUUGCCUAUCCAUAGGAAGAGAGGACAAGACUUAUGGAUUGAGGGAAAAGAUGAGGUUGAUUGGUUUGUAGAGGUGGGUCCUAUAUUUUUAAUAAAAGUAUUUAAAUAAUUUUCUCUUUAAUUAUAUUUUUACUUAGCUAGGGAGUAGGCUUUGCCUUAAGCUAUGCCAGCAUUUAAUAGAAAAUUUGACAGGAAAAUUGAUGGAGAUCUGAUAUUACAACAAAUUCAUAAAAUGAGGUAUGACAUUGCAAUUUUUAAAAUAUGAGGUAUGAGAUUGUUAUUCGACCUAUAAUUAAGGUAGUUUUAUAUAAUUUAUCCAACAUCUAACCGACCAAAUGUAUGAAAAUACGACACCAAAGAGGCAAAUACAACAGAAAUACAGUAGAAAUACGAAUACGCACACAAGAAGGAAAGCACGUCCUUUUCGUAAGGUUCCCCUCAACCUUUGUCUUUCGCUCGACGAUCCGAAAACACCAGUCGGUAGAGAGAAAAUAAUAUUACGCACUCUCUCUCACCUCUCUCUCUCUCCCCUCUCUUCUCCCUGGAUCUGAACUUCUUCUUGACUAGGGUUUGAGAUUUCAGUUUCUCAAUUCGGGAUUUCCAGAUCCGAACAGCUGCUCCUUCCGAGCUUCUCAAUUCCCAGAACAAACGAAAGGUGAAAUUUUCAAUUUUUCUUUUUGUUUUUUGCGUGAAUUUCAAUUCCCAAUUGUGACUUUUUUAGGGUUUUUUUCUGACUGUUGUCUUUUGAUUAUUCUGUUGUUGUUUUCCCCCAAUUUCCCUUUCUUUUUUGUAUAUUUGAUUGGGGGUUAGGGUAAAUUUGUGGAUUGGUAAGUGCAACUGUUCCAGAAUUUCACAUUUUAUUUUAUUUUAAUUAGGGUAUGUUCUUGUUUGAUUUCUGAGCACAUACAAAGUGGGAUUUUUCACCUCUUUUAAUUCGAAUUAGGGUUUUGGUUUUUAUUUGUAAUUUUUGUUUUGUCUAAUGUAUGUGUAAAUUAAAUGUAUGCUCGCAGUCAAGUUGCUACAACUCUGGACAAUUAUGAAUUUCAUUUGCAUUUUACGUGCAAUGUUGGUGAGGGGAAUAAAGGGAAAAGCUUAAUAAUGAGCAAAACUUUGUCAAAUUGAACCCUUUUAUACGAGGAAGCAUUUUCCUAUGAUUAUGCUUUACCGAUUGAUGCUGCCAAAAUUAAAGUUGUAAUUUUUAGGUGUUAAGAAUAAUUUGGUUACGCUGGUAUGUUCCCCUAUGAGCUACUUUUGAUGGUGUCAUCAUAUCUGAUUUAAUCCUCUCAAAGAUUACGAAAGGAAUGCAUGGUUGGGUGCUUGACUGUUGGCUUUGAUAGCGAAGUUAUGACCCUUUGCAGCUUCAUUUUUGGGCAAAACUUGUAUUGCUGCAACUGCGGCGUUUUAUGAUAUUGAAUUUCCAAGCAUGGCAACUCAGUAACAUAUAUAUUGUAGUCGAGCACAUGCUCGACCUAGUUGUUUUCAUUCUUCAUUCCUAUUGUGUGAACAUCGGUCUAGUUGUUAUGGUUUUCCUGAUUCUUUUCUUCUCUGCCUUUUAUCAGGUUUUUGGAGUUUAUAUUAGUUUCUUAUUUUUUUUGCCUAAUGCACUUGUUAAUUAAACAUAUUCCUUCAAAGAAGUUGCUCCAACCAUGGGUAUAUCACGAAUUUCAUUUUCAUGUUUUAUCUUAAUAUCUGUUCAUAGUUAGCAAUGACACAACAACAUGAGUAGUUUAUACCUUUUUUUGUUUUGUUAUUUAAUUAUCUUAUUUAUUAAGUUAGAAUUUUGACCUGUUCACAUCUUGCUGUUUGCAAUAUACGUUGAUCAUUGGUAUUGUUUUGUAUGCUGAUUCUUAAGUAACUGGCUUGAAUCUUUGUUGGUGCUAGUUGUGGCAUUGUUGGGAAGAUAUGUCCCAUUACGCUGGUUAUGUGGAGGAUGAAUACGAAAUGGAAGAUGUAGAUGAUGAUAUGGAUGACGAGUUUCACAGUAGAGAAAUGGGCGGCUCAGAUUCCGAUGUUGAUGAAUAUGACUACUUGGUUUGUGAUAUACUAACAUGUCUUACUAGAUAUGUCAAAUAUUCACAGCUUCAAGAAAUUAUUCAUGUCUAACACUAUUUUACGAUAUGGCUUUUGUGCAUUCAAAUAACUCAAAGUUUGUAUGAGCAUUUCACAUUUCAUGAUCACUGUAGUUCUAUAUAUAGCUGGGACUAAUGUAUGAAUCUCAUGCAGAAUAGUAAAGUAGCUGAUACAACUGCUGCUCAAGCAAGAAAAGGAAAAGACAUCCAAGGUAUUCCUUGGGAUAGACUUAGCAUUACUAGAGAGAAAUACCGACAGACUAGGUUAGAACAAUACAAGAAUUAUGAGAAUGUCCCUAAUUCUGGGGAAGGAUCAGGGAAGGUAAAUAACUACUGUUUUUCCACAUUUUUUAUUUGUUAUCCAAAUUUUUUUAUUGAUGCUGAAGUGUCAAUUUCAACUUGGAAGAGUAACUUGAUGAUGACUUUUUUUCCUCCUUGGUAAAUAGGAUUGCAAAGAUACAAAGAAAGGAUCUGUAUAUUAUGAGUUCAGACGAAAUGCUAGAUCAGUGAAAUCAACCAUUCUUCAUUUUCAGGUGUGCUGGGUGCGAGCUAUCCUUUGUUCUUGUUGGCUGUUUUCUGCGCAUGUGAACUUUGGAUGAAAUUUUCUCACUCGCAUAUCAUAGAACUGAUAGGACUUAUAUUUGCUAACUUGACUUAUAACUUGGGGUCAACUUUUGCAUGCAAUGCCCUUAAACAAUUUGACAGACACUGAAUCAUAAUAUAGCCCUUUGAUGUCUCUUAUUUGACUGAGAUGUUUUAUCUUUGCUUGGUAAUGUAGUUGCGUAACUUGGUCUGGGCUACUUCCAAGCAUGACAUCUAUCUGAUGUCACAUUUUUCUGUCGUUCAUUGGUCUUCCUUAAGUUGCACAAAGUCUGAGGUUCUCAACGUUUCUGGACAUGUGACACCAUCGGAGGUAAGCGUUUUUAGAUAACUUUUGUUCGACAACCAAGUCUUCAUUGGAAACUGAUAUUUCUAUUCGUCCCAUGUAGAAACAUCCUGGAAGUCUCUUGGAGGGGUUUACACAGACUCAAGUUAGUACUCUUGCUGUAAAAGAUAAGUUGCUGGUUGCUGGAGGAUUCCAGGGUGAACUUAUUUGCAAGGUGAGUUGCAAAUAAUUGAGUUUACUAAGUAAGAAAAUAAAUGAAUGAGCAUUCACUUCUCUUGUGCUUAUGUUGUCAACAUUGCUUGGUUUGCGCUUAUCAGUUGUGACCUUGUACAUGGUUCACUUGCACCGUAGGGGUGGUACCGAAACACACAUGUUAUUUGUCCUUUGCUUUAGCUAUAUGGGUGCUACUUCAUACCAGAUGGAUCUUCUGGAUGACUUAUAAGUUUUAACUUUGAAUGUUGUGGUAUCAGUGUCUAUUAAACCUUUGAUACUUGACUACAUCCUGUAUAAGCAUUCUGUCAUUCGGCUGUCUCUACAAGAUCCCUUUUAGUUUCAUUUUUCUCUCUUUGAAGAACUAAUAAAGAGAAACGCUCAAUGCUGACAGAUUUAUCUUAUCUUUGACUGCUCUGCAGCAUCUUGAUCGUCCAGGAGUUAGCUUUGCUCGAGGACAACUUAUGACGAUAAUGCCAUAACAAAUGCUGUUGAGAUUUAUGACAGUCCCAGGUACUUGGUUUUUUCAUGAGGUUGGGAUUUCUCAUUUCCAAAUUCCAAUCAUGAACCUAUAACUGAUAUAGUCCCCUUGAAUUUUGCAGUGGGGCAGUUCACUUUACAGCCUCUAAUAAUGACUGUGGAGUCAGAGACUUUGACAUGGAGAAAUUUCAGCUUACUAAGCAUUUCCGGUAUCCUUGGCCUGUGAAUGUGAGUCUCCUGCAGCUUUUUUGGAAAUGACUGGAUGUAUAUCUCAUUACAUUUGCUGACAUUUCUUUCAUGGAGGGUUCUAUAUUUUUAGUCCUGCUAGUGAUAUAUGAUAGUUGGCAGCUAUUUUUCAACUGCAAAUUUGCAAACUACCUCAUUCCAUCCAAUGCUGAUUUUUCAUUGGGUCACAUUUUACAUGUGGAAAUCCAAUCACUUAAAUGCUUUCUUUAGUCAGUUUUGCUAAACUUCGAUGCACCUCUAUGCUUUGUUUGUAGCAUACUUCUUUGAGUCCCGAUGGUAAACUUCUUGUGAUUGUUGGAGACAAUCCAGAAGGGAUUUUGGUAAACUCUCAAACUGGAAAGGUAUACAUCUCAGACUUUGUCAAUUGACUUUCUCGUGAUGUUUAUUCCUUGAGCUAGGAAAGGAAGUGUGAUGAUUUGUAUGAGUUUCUUUUGCAGACGGUGAUGUCUUUAAAUGGGCACUUGGAUUUCUCCUUUGCAUCAGCAUGGCAUCCCGAUGGUAUGACCUUUGCUACUGGGAACCAGGACAAAACCUGCCGGAUUUGGGAUGUUCGAAACCUUUCCAAGUCAGUUGCUGUUUUGAAGGGGAACCUUGGAGCUAUUCGGUCAAUCCGGUAUACUUCUGAUGGUCAGUAUAUGAUGAUGGCAGAGCCAGCAGACUUUGUGCAUGUCUAUGAUGUGAAAAGUGGGUAUGAGAAGGAACAGGAAAUUGAUUUCUUUGGCGAGAUAUCUGGCAUAUCAUUCAGUCCGGACACAGAGUCACUUUUUAUUGGAGUGUGGGAUCGUACAUACGGUAGUCUUCUUGAGUAUGGCCGGAGCCGGAACUACUCUUACCUUGACUCUCUUAUUUGACCGACUUCAAUAAGCAAACUGCGAAUGAGUGUUGGCGUUGCUCAUUCCUCAGUGCGAUUGAGCCUAGUAACGUAUUUCGCGCAGUGGGAAGAGGUUGUAGAUGUAAAUGAAGUAUUAUGUGCAAUAGUAGCUUUGUUGUUGGUGUUCCGUCCUUUUCUCCCCAUAGAAAAUGUGUAAAAGGGAGGAAUGUACAGAAGGCUAAGGCAAUGGUGGUCGAAACAAAUGGGGAAGAAGAACCGGUGUGUCUUGGGGCGAAAGACAUUGGCUGUUUUGCGUUUUUGAAAUUUUAUCUCAAUGUGGCACGUGUCAUGUGGGAAAGAAGCUACCAAUCAUCUUGUUGGUUUCUUGGAUCCCAAGUGAUGAGUUUGAUAUAGAGUAAAACUUCCUGUAAUAAUUCUACUAAACAAAUUUACUUUUGUUCCCUGUUUACUUUUGUUCCCCUGCCUUCUCUCUGUGGGUUCUAUUACUUUAAUCAAAUAUAUAACCCUAGUAUCUUGGAAAAUGAUUUCUUGAUUAGCUCUUUAAAAAAGAAAGAAUGUUUGAUGAACGAGCAAAAUUACGCAAAAUUUGAUUUUGGUAGACAAUAUGUCAAUUGGAAAAUGGUCUGCCGACAUUAUGUCAAUAAGCUGUUAAGCAAGCGCAUAAUGAUUCGAUUUAUCGACAUUAUUGAUAUCUAAAGUGAUUUUUACACAUUUUUUUCUCUUUUUACACGAUAUCCUCUUUAUUUAUUAUCUUUAUAUUGAACAAAUCAAAAUAAAAUCAACAGACAAAAAUAAACAGAAAUGUUCAAGAGUGAAUUUUACACAUUUUUUCUAUUUUUACACGACAUCCUCUUUAUUUAUGAUCUUUACAUUGAACAAAUCAAAAUAGAAUCAACAGACAAAAAUAUAUAGAAAUGUUGAUUUCCCGUAUUAACACAUCAUAUGAUCUAAAAGUUGAUAUUUUUUCUUUAGUCUAUGCAGCAGCAGUCCUAAAUUCACAAUCUGACGCUCCACAGAGUUUCAGAGGUACCCAAAAAUCUGUAAUCCAAAAGGAACCAAUAAACCAGUGCCAACUCACCAUCCAAAAUCUUUCCCUCCCACUUUCCCAUCCUCACAACCUCCACAGAACCAGUGGAGAUAUAUCACCCCUUUCCCAAUCUCGUCUCCUCCAGAAAACCAACCUCCACUUUUCAUCAAACUUCCACAGCCCAACACCCUCCUCCUCCGCAACCAGUAAUGGCAGCCACCUCCUCCGCCUUGUUCUCAGCCCCGUCCAUCUCCUCCACAGCCACAAGGCACCACCAAACCCUAUCACCAACCCAAAUCUCCUUCCAAGGCCUCAGACCCCUCACCAAGUCCUCCCCUCCCACCAAGCUUGGUUUGCAUGCACCCAGCACCAGGAGAAGUUCAUGCGUCGUCAAAGCUGAGCUGAACCCAUCACUGGUCAUCAGCCUGAGCACCGGACUCUCUCUCUUCCUUGGGAGGUUUGUUUUCUUCAACUUCCAGAGAGAGAAUGUGGCCAAGCAAGGGUUGCCGGAGCAGAACGGGGUGACGCACUUUGAGGCUGGGGACACUAGGGCUAAGGAGUAUGUGAGCCUCCUCAAGUCUAAUGACCCUGUUGGGUUCAACAUUGUGGAUGUUUUGGCUUGGGGUUCUAUCGGUCACAUCGUGGCUUACUACAUCUUGGCCACCUCUAGCAAUGGCUAUGAUCCCAAGUUCUUUGAAUAAAUAUUAUCAUUUUGAAUUUAAAUUUGAGUUGAAUCCAUAUCAUGUUGUUGUGAGGUCUCUCUCUUGUUUGUAAUUUGUAUAGCUUAUCAAUGAAUCGCUAGUUUGGGAAGUUCUUAUGCUUUUCUUUGUUGUUUUAUUUUUUGUUUCGUGGUUCUUCGAAGUAACAACACUAGAGGCAGGACUAUAGCCAAUUAAGUUCUUCGUUUUGAGUUUGAAUGCAUGUGUUUUGUUGGAAUUUGGAAUUUACUACUUGCUAUUAUUUCAUGUUCUCAAAGGUAUCCAAAUCCAUCAUGCAAUGCACUCUUUCAAAUCUUUGGAUUGAACCCCCCUUGAGGCAUCAACAACUAUGAUGAAUUUGGGACAUUCCUUAUUUCAUAGUUUUGGAGUACCAUUCUUUUUCGGGUAAAUUGUUGUUUGACCCCCUGAACUAUUUUUUUGGUAAAUUAACCUCCUAAACUAUUUAAAAUCAGCCAAUUAACCCCUUAACGUUAGACGUCCAUUAUUUUGUCAAAUUCAAGGGCAAAUUAGUCUUUUUGUCAUCAAUUUGUACAUGUCACUUAUAACUACCAAUAAAAUUAUGACACGUGGACACAGAAUAACGUGUAAUGACAAUGUAAAAUGGUCUGUUAUGCAAACGUUUGGUUUCUUUAUGUUUCUUAUUAUGCUAUAAGUUUUUGAAUUAUUCUGUGUCCACGUGUCAUUAUUUUAUUGGUGGUUAUAACUAACUAGUAAGAAUUGAUGAUAAAAAAGAUUAAUUUGCCCUUGAAUCUGACGGAAUAGUGGACGGAAUCUAACGAAAAAUGGUUAAUUGGCUGCUUUUAAAUAGUUCGGGGAGUUAAUUUACCAAAAAAUUAGUUUAGGGGGUCAAUUUCAACUAAAGUAAUAAUUUAAGGGGUCAAACCGCAUUUACCCUUCUUUUUCGGAUACUCUUAAUAUGGUGAUGCAACAAAAUUAAUUUGAUUAUGGACAUUCACCUCUCCCAGACCCUGCGUAAAGCGGGAGCCUUGUGCACUGGGUACGACCUUUUUAUAUGUUUUUUUUAUCGACAAAAAGAUAUUUUUAACUAUUUUAAUUUAUGCGAAAUGAGGUUUGAAUUUGGAUGAAAAGGAGCUAUCACUUGACUAAAUGACCUGACUUACAUGUUUAAGCCCACAUAAGCGUAGUUUCUUCACUCAAAUUAAAAGUUAGAAAAAAAUACAGAAAUCUACUAAAUUCAGGCAAAAUCGAUGAACUUAAACAUAUCAUGAAUAUAAUCAUCUAAUUUUUGGAACUUUAGCACGAUUUAUAUUAUGAUGAAAUCCUUAUGAUUUCAUAAAAAAUGUUACUCUUAUCUUAUCACAUUUUUCAUACCACGUUUAUAACACUUCGUAUUCGUAAGCCCUAUUUCUAUUAGAGAAGUGAUACAAUUAUGAUAUGUAUCAUUUACUCUUAGAAAUCACAUUCUAUACUCCGUCUUCUUUCUCUUUUCCCUUGGAACUUAAUAUGCUCUUUCAUAUUUCUACUUUUAUUAACAGAAAAAGGAGUAAAAGGAAGGGGUCCAAACUGUACAGAAUCUUAUUAAUUUUAGCCAACAAAAGUACCUAUCAUGGCUUUGCCUUCCCAAAUAUGUGUUUUACCAAAACCAUCAGCCCAUCCCCAUUCUUCAUCUACACUCAAAAUAUUUCUCUUCAGUUAGUUAAAAACAUUUUAUCUAAAAUCUAAGCUUUUGAUUUCGAAUCUUUAUAUCUAUUUGUCUCCACUCUUGUGUAAAUACAAGUUUAAAUUUUCUUAUCAUAAAUUUUGAAUUAAUUUAUAUUAUCGUUUGUAUCGACAACCAAUAAAUAAAGUUUCAAUCUUUAAUUAUUAGGAAAGUAUUCUAGGGCCUAGUCAUAUCCAAUAUCUUAGGAAAAGGAUCAUCUUUGUGGGAUCCGAGGGAUCAAGCAAUCACGGUCGUUGCAUCAUAUAUCAUGCUAUUAUAAAUCAGUUUAAAUUUAAAAUUGAAUAUAAAUAGUAUAUAAUGAAAAUUAAACGCAUGAUAUACGAUGAACAGUCGUGAUUGCUUGAUCCCCGAAUCUCCACAUGCUUUUCCAAUAUCUUUAUAUAAUCAUAUAAUUUGACUAAAAUAAAAAGGGUGGUCCGUGCCUUCUGGUAAUCUAGCAUCUUAAUCCAUCAAAUCUUUACCCUCCCUUUUUUCUCUCUAACAAAAUGUCUGAGGUCCCAACACCAAAAAUUACAGAAAAGGAGAAGCCUUCUUCUUCCUCAGCCACUUCAGCUCACCAACAACAACUCCUCUCUCUCCCCGCCAAUGGGUCUUCUCUCUCAUCCCCCGCCUCCGCUCCAAAGGCUUAUCCUUCACCCACAGCAACGUACGAGGAAGUCGUUCAAAGCUCCGACCUUUUCUGGGAAAAGCUCAAGGAGUUUCACGAUUCGUUCAGAACCAAAUUCAUGUACGUUUUGGGUUUUGUCCCUUUUGUGAAAGCUUUGAUUUUGUAUAUUUGGGUCGUUUGGUGAAUUGGGUUGUGUUUGUUUUGCUGUUUUGGGUCUUGAUAUGUUGGCAGAAUUGGAAAAUUAUAGUUUGUAUUGACAUUGAAUUUGCGUGUUGCUACUACAGUUGACUGGUUUGAUCAAUUCAUGUAAUUUGGCUCGGUUCGUUUUUCUUACAACUUAGAUUUCGUUUUGUUGGGCUAUUUGAUGAAUUGGGUGGGUUGUUUUUGUUUUGCUAUUUUGGGUCUUAAUAUGUUGGAAUAAUUGGAAAAUUAUAUAUUUGUGUCGUGUUUUUAUCUUUUCAUUGCCUCACUUGGACUAUUGGAUCUAACGGAAGACAUGACACAAAACUGAGCGUGGCAUUCUAGGAUUCAUAUAGCCGACUCUGCUUAGUGGGAUAAGAUUUUGUUGUUGUUGUAUUGCCUCACUUGAUAUACUUCCAUUGUUUUUGCAUGUUGCAUGCUUCAAUUGACUGGUUUUAAUCAAAACUAUGUUGCCUAUUCCUCGGUUUGAAUUGAUUGAAUGGUGACUGACUGAAAAUUUUGGACUGCAUUGUACACAUUGUUUCGAGUAUUUUUAGCAAAGUCAGGAUAUUUUUUUUGGGAUUCUAGAAGUUCAGUUGAAUGCUGAUAUCAAAUUUAUAUCCCCUGUGGUGUCUCUCUCUAUUUGAGUUUGAGUUAGGGAUGGUGGACAAUGAGCAAUCCCGAGAUUUAUUGCAAUGCAAUUCAUCAUUUCCACAUACCACCUAUAAUAUUGGCUCACGUUAUCCUUCUUUUUUCUUUGCCAUUAGUAAGAUUAUUGUUUCUUACCAAGAUCUGAGUUUGUCAUUCAUGAGAGAUGCUUCAUUCAAGAAAAUUGGAAUUUCCCAAAUCUUCGUUAGUCAUUGUUUCCUUUGCAUAACUUUAAUAAAUGGGGAUUUGAUUUUCUUGAUGUCUACUUUUGAGCUGAAAUUUUCCAUGUAUGCAGCAUUACUAGACCAAAAACAGCACCAUGUCGUGGAGAAAUUACGACAGUUUCCUUUUUGAGGAUUUAAGAAUUGCUAAUUUAUUUUAGUAUGCUAUCUUUUGAUGUUGGUAUUUUUUAGCUGUUAUAACCUUAUAUUUCUUCAUUCUUAUUUUGUGGUCAUGGAAACCUACUUUCCAUGUUGAGAUAUUAAUGCGUCUUCAAUUGCUUAGUUUAUUGCUUAUCCUUGUGAAUUUGCAUUUGGUUUUGAUACCUUACAGAAGCAUAAAUAGGCUUUUUGGUAACUAGGAAAAGUUAUCAGUGAUGGUCAGUGAAAUCCUGAAACUGGGUCAUUUUAUGAGAUGUCUGAAAGUAUUUCUUCAUUAGUAUUGAAGUAGGUUAGUUUGAAGGAUACAGUCUAAGGGGUGCAGAAAUAAGCUGUUUAUGAAUGUGGACUUUGUCAUGCCACGAUUCUUUUUGUGCAUCAGAAACCGUUCCUAAACUGCUGUGCUGAUUGUAUAACUUAUUUCCUUUCAUAGUUUAUAGGCAUUGAUGAAAACUUAGUUAGGACGGCCUGGCUUGAACAGGAUCUGUCCUAUAGGAUCAUAUGUCUGAGUCCUUGAGUUCAUGAAAAUUUAGUGUAAAGUACAGAAAAAACGGAAAGUCCAUGAGGAUAAGAUUAGCCCUCUUUGUGCAGGAUUCCUACCGUAGGAGGAAAAACUCUGGAUCUACAUCUCCUUUUUGUAGAAGUCACAUCUCGUGAUGGGCUUGAAAAGGUUCGUUCAUUUUGCUUUUCUGUUUAAUGGUUGUUUAUAUGAGAUUCUUAAGCUGAGUUAAACUUAUUGCCUAUGUUAAUCUUCAUCCUUUUCUUUUCUCCCUUAUUUUGGAGCCAUUCUAAAGUUCCUUUUUUAUGUUUUGAAUUUUAUUUCACUUUAAAUUCUCUUAAACUGGUUACAGGUGAUUAGAGAUCGCAAAUGGAAGGAAGUGAUUACAGCCUUCAAUUUCCCAACAACAAUUACCAGUGCUUCGUUUGUCUUACGGAAGUACUACUUGUCUUUGCUGUAUCACUUUGAGCAGGCCUAUUAUUUCCACAAAGAAGUUUAUAGCAUACCAGUGCUUGGUAAUUGAAGACAGGGGUCCUUGUUGAUUUUGUGUCAUUUCAUGUAUUUUAUUGAUUGGAAAAUAUAUGGUUUUCUUGUUUCCUUUUUGCCAGAGCCUCUAAGGAAGAACCUUUUCAAUGGGUCAGCCACCGUGGAGGAAGGUGCAAGUAGAAACCAAUUUCCAGGUCAGGGUAGGCUUAACCUCCAUCUCGAUGUUAUGGUUCUAAUAGUGGUUGCGCCACACUAGUUGUAGAAGUAGAACCAUAUAACUAUGAGUAUGUUUUCUCUUUGGUGUCUACAUUAAACUGUAAGUUUCCAGAAAACCUUUUAUGUGCAAUUGUAGAGUAUACCUCCUGUUGACAAUUCUCAGAAGAAAUCGUAUGAAAUAAUUCUGUAACUUCUUAAAGUUAGAUAGUUGAAUAAAAAAAUUUCUUGCUAGUGGUCAAGCUUUUCUGAUGGCCCUUUUGAGAUAAUCUUCGGAAAGCUGCAAUGAAAUAGAUAAACAACAUAGGAACUUCUAUUAAGAAAUAUGGAUGAACCACAUUGUAAAUUUUAUAGGGAAUCUGUCUUAUAACUUUAUGACUUGCUAUGAUGCUUUUACUGUCGUCUUUCUAAUUCAGUAUCAUUAUUUCCUAGUUCCUUGACCUUAUUGAUAGCAUCUAGUUAUUUGAUCUGCAAGGCCGUGAAUUAAUUGCAAUAUGGAUCUGUUUUCUCUAUCUUAUGUACAGAAAGCACAGAAGUGCAGCUUGGUUGUUCAAUCAUGGGAACCAUUGAUGGGAAAUUUGACAGUGGAUAUCUGGCUACUGUCAACUUGGGUUCUGAUGAACUGAAAGGUGUCUUGUAUCAUGCUCCUACAUCUACAUAUGUUUCUCAGAGCUUUUCGGACAUGCCUACUCGACGGAACCGAAAGAGAUCCAGGUUGGCAUUACGUGAUCCCUUUCGGCCCAAGUCAAACAGGAGUGGUUACAAUUUCUUCUUCGCUGAGCAUUAUGCCAGAUUAAAACCUUUGUACUAUGGGCAAGAGAGAGCCAUCAGCAAGAAAAUUGGGUAUCUAUGGAACAAUCUCACAGAGGCUGAGAAACAGGUAUAGUGAGUUGGUGACAUUUUUUUUUUUUUUUUUUUUUUUUUUCAGUUAGUCCUUUUUCGCUCGUAACGUCCCAAGCUAAUUUCAUUAUCGUAUAUUUGUGUUCCGGUAUAGAUCUAAGGUUUGAGAAGAAGUUUCACAUGCUUGGAUAGAAUUACUAUUUUCAUCUCCUUUUGUGUUGAUUCUCAACACUUCUAACUUGCGGUAUAUUGGAAGUCUUCUUGAAGUGUUCAUCAUAACACUCCGUUGCUGCGUUGCAGGUUUAUCAGGAUAAAGCGAUGAAGGACAAGGAGAGAUACAGGACCGAACUGCUGGAAUAUAAAUCUUCCUACAAUCCUACGCAGCAAUAGCCUCCAUGUUCGUUAGAUAGGCAACUUGUUUCGUAGGCAUCAUUUUCCUCUCUUGUAUGCCUUUUUGUAGUAGUUGUCAUCGUUGCCGGUAUUUAACCUAGUUCGGUUUUCAUUUUUCUUUGGUAAGGUUACCCCUCAGUAUGCCCCAUCCGCGGAAAAGAAUUGCGGAAGGGGUGAAAGGGGGCAGCUCUUUGUAACAGCUGUUGAAUUUGCCUUCACUUUGGAUUAGUAGGAUUCCAUUGCAGUGACGAUCUUUGAUAUUUCUUGACAUUCCAAUGUAACAAUAGUAAUUCCUGGAACUGCAGUCUAAAAUUUAAGGGAGCUUAUUUUCACACACAAUCUUUAGCCUUCUACACAGCCCUCACACAUAUUCCUGACAUCGGAUUGAAUAAAUGAAAUAGAAAACACGAUUCGGAUUGAAUAAAUGAAAUAGAAAACACGAUUAGGAUUAAAUAAGCGUGUAGGAGGAGAAAAAUUAUUUGUAAUUUCCAAAAUUUAUAGGUGGAUUGAAAAGUUUUGAACAUUAUGCAAUGUUUACGAGCUCGUUUGAAAGUGCUUUUAAAAUGACUGAAUGCUCUUUUGGUGAAAUUGAUUUUGGGUUCCAAAAGUACUCAAGUGCCUUUUGGAAGAAAUACCAGAUAUGUACUUUUUCAAGAAAGCACUUAAAUGUUUUUUCAUGAUCUACUUGGAUUUUUACUAAAUAUUGGUUUUAAAAACAUUUUCAUCAAAAAGACUUACAGUCAUUUCAAAAAGACUUCCAAAUGAUACAACACCUAAUGUACGCAGAUCACUACAACUGACUUUUGAGCUAGUUAGAAUUAUUUUUUAUCUUGGGGUUUCUAUCUAUUUUUAAUCUCAUCAUCCAAGAAAAUGUUAAACACAAAAGCAUAAAAAAAAACAAAAUGAAUUACGCCACCAUCUCAAAUUUAUUGAGUGAUAUUUUAACGUAAUCUAAAUUGCAAGGAGAAGAUCAACUAAUACAAUAAUUUAGAAAUAUUUUUCUUUGUUUUUAAGUAACAUGUUUCAAAUUUGACUUACAUAGACAGCGAGGGAGUAUUGUAAUUAUGUCAAGUUUGAUACCUAAUUAAUGGCUGACUUAGCCUAGUCCCCCUCUCCUUAGAGUAAAAUAUAUUGUAACAAAAUUAUAGAGAGAGGUAACUAAGUGGGAUGAUAGAGAGAGGUAACUAAGUGGGAUGAGGCAGUGCAUUAUUAUCCUGGUCAACUUUGGCUAUGCCAAGUCCUACAUUUUUUACUUUCAAAUAUGAUUAUUACUUGCUUUCUUAAUCAACUAGAAGUAAAACUAUUGGCUUAGGAAAUACAUUUUAACGGAUACUUUUUACCUUUCAUAACGUGGUAAUACAUGUUUUACCUUAAUUAAUUAGUUCCCCUUCAAACAAACAAAAUGUAUACAUAAGUAAUGAUUUUCUUUUUGACACACAAUAUGAUAUUUUAAUACAAACAGACAAUACAAUAUGUGAAUUGGAACAUUAGAGCUCUUAAACUCGUACAUUGUACAACUAAGUGAAAAAAGCUAAACUAUAGUUAGAUGAAAGGUAGUCAUUUAGUACUACGAUAUAAUGAUAUUCUUCGAUCUAGUUGUUCAUUUUCACUUGUAAGUGAUCUUAUGUUUGAUUAUUGUCAAAAGCAAAUUUGAGCCAAAUUAUUGUCUAUUGUGAGGUUUAGCCUAACUCCUCUUUUUCGUACGAUAGAUAAAAUCGUUUGUUAAAAAAAGUUAAACAAAAAGCUUGCUGGUCAAAGACUCAAAUGCAACGACUUCCUUCACACAUUUUCUUUCGUCAAAGCAUUAAGUAGAAUUUAAAUUCCUUGCUCAUAAAAUUGGAAACAUGGAGGCCAUUCAAAGGUUUGAAACCGCGUGGAAACAAAAGGAUAGAAGAAAUAAAUUGGAAAAUUUGCUCCUCUAAUCACUUUCUUAUUUAGACUCUAGUCAUGUGUGUGGUGAGUGGUGAAUGGUGGGAACAUGAGGGCAGUGCAUCAUAUGCAAUUAUAUAAUUGGAGAAACGUUUGAAAAUAAAAACUUUUCACCACUUGUAUAUUAACAUUUGGCGUACCAUUACGUGUUUUGAGUGUACUGAAAAAUCUAGUGAAUGGUGGUAUGAGAUGUGAAAAUUCACAUAAAAGAGGAUCAAAAGGGAUAAUAAUGACAUGCAUUAACUUAAAGGAUGGCGAUAAGCACGGAUUUUGAAACUAACCCAAGAGAGUUCCCACUUUGCUAGGCUUCUUGCCCCCUUUUAAUUUCCUCUCCUUGAUAGAGUAGGAAAUCCUUUUGGGAUUUUAUUCUAAUUAGAAAAAUGAGAUUUUUUAAUAUAUGCUGCGAAUAUCUUAUGUAUUGAAAAUUUUAAUCAAUAUAUUAUUGGUUAAAGAUUCAACAAUUAAAGUUGCAAACGUUUAAAAAUUUAGUGUAUAAAGUACAUCAAAGUAUAGUAAAUUUUUUAUUAAAAAAUAGUGGAAUAAUUUAUCAUUGAUUAACACUUAUAAAGGGUAACACAAAUAAGAAGAGAAAAAAAAAAUCCUUAAAAAAAAGAAGACAAAAAGCUAAUUUUUGGGGUUGGAGGAAUAAUUACAAAGAAAAGAUUGUAUCCUAAAUUUUUGUGAAAACUGAGAGAAUUCCGGAUGAUUGGCCUUGGAGUAUCUUCCAAGGAAGAUUAAAAUUAAAUUAUAAUGUAAGAUAAAAAUUAGAAAAAAAAAAUUAAAGGAAGAAAUUCCAAAAACCCUUACUCUUUGGGGCAGGUAUGGUUUAGUGUUGUAAGUGGGGCUCCUAAAUACUCGUAGUGGGAUAGAAGAGAGUGGCACACUUCAUACUAAACAGUACUACCUAAACCUUUGUUUGGAUGGAGUUUAAUUUUUCAUUUUUCAUUGAACUCUUCUUAUUUUUUGAAGGAUCUCUCUCAAAAUUAGGAUUGUUAUGACCUCUUUGUCAACCCAUAGUUUAAAGUUAAUUUUGUGUUAACAUUAUAAAAUAUUAUACCAAAAGCAUAAGGUAACAAGGAUUUUAUAAAGAGUCUUAAGAGAGUUCGAUUAUCAGUUCACUAUCUUUUGUGUGGUGGUUUUAUGGUUUUCAAACUUUUCAAAAUUCUCAUACUAUUCUCAGUCAGUGACUCAAAAUUCCGUGAGAAUUUGGAGAUUCUGAAAGAACGGAUUAACAGGCUUUGACGGUCAAUUGCCCAUGAACCAAAACUCAUACAAACAGCAGUUAAACCCAAAAUAAUAUUAAUUAAAAAACCUAACAAUAUCUAUAAAAAUAUAACAAUUAUAAUUCUCUUUCUAUAACAAUUUGGUGACUUGAAAGACCGAAGGCCUGCCUAACUGCUGCAGAAUUUGUGAAGUCCUCUCUCUCUCUUAGCUCUUCUGGGUUUGUUUCUCUGCUCCUUUCCUUGGCUAUUUUUCAACUCUAAUCUUUUUUUUUGAGCUGUAAUCUGAUGACAUCAUUAGCUGGCUGGAAGCCACUGAAUUUCCUUGUUUUCUUUCCCCUCUUAGAGUUCUUGAUUAUAUUGAGGUCAGGAUUUUCAGGACUUAUAAUUACCCAAAACAAGAUCAUGAUCAAAGUAGCCUAAUUUUGCUUCUCAGCUAAGCUAACCUUUUCACAUUUAUAUUUGCAUAUAUAUAUAUAUAUAAAAUCUCAAUCUCCUAGUAGGGUUCCGCAUACUCACAUCCUUAGCUUUAGCUCCUUUCUACCCAAAUCUUCUUUCUUUUCUUAUUCCCCAAGCACCAAAAAAAAAAAAAAAAAAAAAAAAAAAAA